rnacentral:rRNA from 1 species
ACCGGCAAACGGAGUGCCAAACACAGUACACAACCUUCCUUGAAUAGGGGGAUAGCCCAUAAAAAUGUGGAUUACUACCCCGUAAUAUAGCGGUGUGGCAUCACACUGUUAUUAUAGUUUCGGCGAUUCGAUAUGGGUGUGCGGCUGAUUAGGUGUUGGCGGGGUAAAGGCCCACCAAGCCUUCGAUCAGUAGCUGAUGUGAGAGCAUGAUCACCCACACGGCCACUGACACACGGGCCCGACUCCUACGGGAGGCAGCAGUAAGGAAUAUUGGUCAAUGGACGCAAGUCUGAACCACCCAUGCCGCGUGAAGGAUGAAGGUCCUCUGGAUUGUAAACUUCUUUUAUAGGGGGCGAAAAAAGGUCUUUCUAGAUCACUUG